UCCACAAGAUGAUCCCUUCGAAGAAUUCUGCAAUUCUGACAAUCUCCGCGCCUGAACUUUCGGGUUCGCCGGUGCCGUGAGAUUGCGUGUUGACUCUUCUACACUUGAUCUGACU
rnacentral:snoRNA from 1 species